UGAUAAGCCGGAGGAAGGUGGGGAUGACGUCAAGUCCUCAUGGCCCUUACGCGCUGGGCUACACACGUGCUACAAUGGCAACUACAGUGGGCAGCAAUCCCGCGAGGGUGAGCUAAUCUCCAAAAGUUGUCUCAGUUCGGAUUGUUCUCUGCAACUCGAGAGCAUGAAGGCGGAAUCGCUAGUAAUCGCGGAUCAGCAUGCCGCGG
rnacentral:rRNA from 1 species